CUUUAGUCUCAGCGGUGAUCUGCAUAUGUUCCAGAAAACCAUCAAUAUCUAUCACCUUGUAUCAUAAUCCGUCUUGGCAUAUCAUAAGUCGAAACUUCUUUAACAUACCUCUCCUGAUGAUCGUUGGUGGUCUUUCAUUCUCCCUGUCCAAAUCUAACCGAAGGUGUGCAUAUCAUAACAAAUAUAAUAAGAUAGGGAGUGUCGUGCACCAAACCAUAGGAGAGAUCUGGAUUCCAUUGUUAUCACUUUCAUUAGUGUUGUCCUUGUCCUCAGAUUCUUUUUCGUUACAUCUAGUGUUUACCAUUAUUAUUGGAGAUACUUAUAGGAUAGUGUAUUACUAUUUGACCAAGGACAGGUGAAAGUAGUUAGUUGUAGUUUUGAGUAGUUACAUUGCUGCCAU
rnacentral:lncRNA from 1 species